AAGGCUCUUAACUUCUCCUGUGUGUAGGUUGUGACGUCAUUUCCGUCUUUUAGCGGUACCUGUUUUCAAUUAGCCUAACGAGCUCACCUGCCACACGGUCACACAUGGAAACGAUGUCACCAUUACUAGAGGGAUGGUGUUGGAACCCCCUCCACGUUUCCCUUGUCUCCAUAGAAGAUCUGAAACGAUGAGGCAUACCGUUGUGAAUCAGCGCCCGGUGACACCUCCACAAAAGCGAGGUUCGUGCCCGGCACAGAGGUCGUCCCCGGGGUCAGGUUCGGCUCUGCAGACCACCCGGCUGUGACUCUACGCACCCCCAGCUUCACCCUCGUGACGAAAAAGGGAUAAAAUAGUCAUAACUCUCUCGGAGACGUGUGACCUGUGUCUCCGUCUCUGAAAGCCUCCACAGUGUCUCUCUGCAGCAGGGUGGAGAGACAUGAAAGGCACCAGAUUCAAACUGGAUUUCAAUCUGUGAAACAUAAAUCUUGGAGGAGGAAGCAUGACCAGAAAACACUGCUUCCCUUCAUGCACUUUAAUUCUCAAGUGGAUGCAUUGUUCCAAAGUGUAGGUGCACGCUUCUGUCCAGCAGAGAGCAGCGCUUGGUAGAGAAUGAAGGUAGACAACUCACACUUUCCUGCAGAUUCAGUGAUAUUUUGUGGGAUCCAGGAGUGAAAACCACAGAACAGACGCCUCAUCAUUAUGCAUUUGUCUCAGACUAUGCUUUAAUUGUGAAUUACAUCAUGCAAAUUGUGUUAAUUGGUUUUGCUCUUGUGUUGCUCCAACACAGUUAAUUAAUCCCUGCGUGAAGCAAACACAGGAUAGGACAGAUAAGACUUCAGACCAGGGAAAAUAACAGAGUUAAGAGUAAACAUGUAUCAAUAGAAACAACAACAAUAUGGGCAGAAUGUGCAAAACAAAGCAAGAUAUAUGCACGAAAAGAAAAGUCUAACAGGUAAAAGCAUGGAGUAGUUGCAUUUACAUAAAGAAAGGAAACAUUCAAUGAAGGUAUUGUAUAAUAAAUGCAUGUCUAGGUAUAUAUUUUGAAUGAACGACCUAUACUUGUCCACCUUUUUAUCAUAUUUGAGUUGAAGACCUAAACUAAAGCUGCACAAUUCAUACAAGUUUCAUCAAAAUGCAUUUAUGGAUCAGUGCAUUAUCCAAAUCUCAGCAU